GCCGGGUGCGGUGGCAUGGGCCUGUAAUCCAAGUCACUGGGAGGCUGAGGUUGGUGGAUCAAGUGAGCUGAGGAGCUCUGGGCUGCAGCACACUAUGUGGAACGGGUGUCCACGCUAAGUUCGGUAUCAAUAUGGUGUUCCUGGGGGAGCCCGGGACCACCAGGUGGUCUAAGGAGGGGUGAACCUGCCCAGGUCGGAAACGAAGCACGUCACAUCCCCCGUGCUGUCCAUUAGUGGGAUAAUACCUGUGAGUAGAUGCUGCAGUGCAGCCAUGGCGAAACAUCGAGACCUAAUCUUUC
ensembl:misc_RNA Metazoa_SRP Metazoan signal recognition particle RNA